rnacentral:rRNA from 1 species
GGACUACUCGGGUUUCUAAUCCUGUUUGAUCCCCACGCUUUCGCGCCUCAGCGUCAGUUGUGCGCCAGAUAGCCGCCUUCGCCACCGGUGUUCCUCCUAAUAUCUACGAAUUUCACCUCUACAUUAGGAAUUCCGCUAUCCCCUCACACACUCCAGCGAUACAGUUUCAAAGGCAGUUCCACAGUUAAGCUGUGGGAUUUCACCCCUGACUUGCAUCACCGCCUACGCGCUCUUUACGCCCAGUAAUUCCGAACAACGCUAGCACCCUUCGUAUUACCGCGGCUGCUGGCAC